CAGGCCUAACACAUGCAAGUCGAACGCCCCGCAAGGGGAGUGGCAGACGGGUGAGUAACACGUGGGAACAUACCCUUCGGUUCGGAACAACGCCGGGAAACUGGCGCUAAUACCGGAUACGCCCUUUUGGGGAAAGGCUUGCCGCCGAAGGAGUGGCCCGCGUUCGAUUAGCUUGAUGGCGGGGUAACGGCCCACCAUGGCGACGAUCGAUAGCUGGUCUGAGAGGAUGGCCAGCCACAUUGGGACUGAGACACGGCCCAAACUCCUACGGGAGGCAGCAGUGGGGAAUAUUGGACAAUGGGCGCAAGCCUGAUCCAGCCAUGCCGCGUGAGUGAUGACGGCCUUAGGGUUGUAAAGCUCUUUCGCACGCGACGAUAAUGACGGUAGCGUGAGAAGAAGCCCCGGCUAACUUCGUGCCAGCAGCCGCGGUAAU
rnacentral:rRNA from 1 species